rnacentral:rRNA from 1 species
UACGUAGGUGACAAGCGUUGUCCGGAUUUACUGGGCGUAAAGCGUGCGCAGGCGGUUUGUUAAGACAGAUGUGAAAUCCCCGGGCUUUAACCUGGGAACUGCGUUUGUUACUGGCAAGCUAGAGUGUGUCAGAGGGAGGUAGAAUUCCACGUGUAGCAGUGAAAUGCGUAGAGAUGUGGAGGAAUACCGAUGGCGAAGGCAGCCUCCUGGGAUAACACUGACGCUCAUGCACGAAAGCGUGGGGAGCAAACAGG